rnacentral:rRNA from 1 species
AUACGGAGGGUGCAAGCGUUACUCGGAAUCACUGGGCGUAAAGCGCGCGCAGGCGGCCAUUUAAGUUGGAUGUGAAAGCCUACGGCUCAACCGUAGAACUGCAUCCAAAACUAUUUGGCUAGAGUGUGGGAGAGGAAGAUGGAAUUAGUUGUUUAGGGGUAAAAUCCGUAGAGAUAACUAGGAAUACCAAAAGCGAAGGCAAUCUUCUGGAACACUACUGACGCUGAGGCGCGAAAGCGUGGGGAGCGAACGGGAUUAGAUACCCUAGUAGUCC